rnacentral:lncRNA from 1 species
UGUGGUUAUAUUGAUAAUUUAGAAUCUUCCUUGAAGGUGGUGCACGAAUUCGCAGCUAAAUAACUCGAUUGAUGUGUCAUUUGUAUACAAGAGUUAUAUUCCUUUGAACUAUGAGUCUAUGUUUAAUUUCAUAAAGUCAAUAUGUUGAUUGUCUACCUUGAACAGGGUUAUAAUUAUAUCUUAUAAAUAUAGUUUUUUUUAUUGAAUUUAAAAUCGUUACAAAAUCUGUAAUGUACUAG